GGGCAGUUGCUAGAGUGGACAAUUAGGCCUGACUGUAAAUCAGGUGCGCAAGCUUCGGUGGUUCGAAUCCGCCACUGCCCACCC
rnacentral:tRNA from 1 species